rnacentral:rRNA from 1 species
UACGUAGGGUGCAAGCGUUAAUCGGAAUUACUGGGCGUAAAGCGUGCGUAGACGGUUACAUAAGUCGGGUGUGAAAGCCCCGGGCUCAACCUGGGAAUUGCAUUCGAGACUGCGUAGCUAGGGUGCGGAAGAGGGAAGCGGAAUUUCCGGUGUAGCGGUGAAAUGCGUAGAUAUCGAGAGGAACACCUGCGGCGAAGGCGGGUUGCUGGGCUGAUACUGACGCUGAUGCGCGAAAGCCAGGGGAGCGAACGGG